GAGGCACCGCAUCUCUUGAGGAGGAAAGAGCCGGAAACACCUGGUCUCUCAAGCAGGAUUGGGCCGAGCCUAUGCCCUGGCUUUUGCAGAAAGAGGAGCGUUAGUUGUUGGUAAGUUGGUGUGUUUUUCUUUUUAAUCUGUAGCUGAUAACUGAAAUACAAUCUUUACAAGCUAUCUUUGUCUUUCUAUCAAAUAAUUUGUCAAGGUUGAAUUUUAUUAUUAAUUUUUACUUUUGCCAGAAGGUUUUUACCCCGACUAAGGCUGUCUGUCUAAAUUACUUUUAAAAGGGAACCAGUUUCACAGAAUUCCCAGCUUAACAGAAUUGAUAACGAAGGGCUAGGGGGUAGGCAUGCUGGCUUGUGGCUAUAACUCCAGUGACUCAGGAGGCUGAGGUGGGAGGAUCGCUUGAGACCAGGAGUUCGAGCCUGCAGAGAACUAUGAUUAUACCACUGCACUCCAAUCUGGGUGAUGGCG
rnacentral:lncRNA from 10 species